GACGUAGGGCGCGAGCGUUGUCCGGAUUUAUUGGGCGUAAAGAGCUCGUAGGCGGCUCAUUGCGUCAACCGUGAAAACCAGCAGCUCAACUGUUGGCUUGCGGUUGAUACGGGUGGGCUGGAGUUCGGUAGGGGAGACUGGAAUUCCUGGUGUAGCGGUGAAAUGCGCAGAUAUCAGGAGGAACACCGGUGGCGAAGGCGGGUCUCUGGGCCGACAUUGACGCUGAUGAGCGAAAGCUAGGGGAGCAAACGGG
rnacentral:rRNA from 1 species